AUGAACCCCACGCGGCCUGGACCUCCAGCCCGCUCAGCCACGUGCGGCCAUCCACCCCCACGAGAGCAAGGCGUGCACCCUGCCUCGGCAGCUCAGGGAGGACAGGACGGCCUCUGGAGACGCCAGUGGACAGACGCGUGUCCCGGGGAUGUCACACCAGGGUCUUGGCCCCUCCGUGCCUCCAGGUUGAGGACCCGUGGCAGGCACCUGCAGCCCCCACCCCCACACAGGCCCCCACGGCCACCCACCUUGAGGAACUUGUACAGAAGGAAAGUGAACCAGUUGGUUAGCAUCUUCUCGGCCACUGACUCAGUCCUGGAACAGAGCACGUGGGGUGACCUCGGGCCCACCCGACCCCCACUGCCUCAGGGCCAGUGGUCAGGCCUGGCCUCAGAGCACGUGUCACCCAGCGACAAGGAUCCCAGACAGGGCAUACCCCAGGUGGGUCCCCAGAGUCGCCUCAGCAGUGCCUGGGCUGGGCCAGUGGACGCACUGCCGCAGGGGUGGGCGGGCAGGGGUGUGGGUGAGCCAGGCUGUGGGUGGGCACAGGAAUGCCCAGGGCACAGUGGGCAGACAGGUUGUAGGUGGGCAGGGGUACACAGGCAUGGGGCAGAGGGACGCAGGCAGGGAGGGGGCGUGGGCGGGCAGGAGCACAGGGAGGUGGGGGCUACAGGGGGGCAGUGGGCAGGGACACAGCGGUGCAGGUGGGUGGGGCCACAAGGGGGCGGGGGCGGGGGCGGGUGGGGUACACAGGGAGGCGGGGGGCGGGGGGCAGGCGGGGGUGGGGCGGGGACGCACCGGCGCAGCAGCAGCUUGGGGUGGUUCUUGCUCUCCAGAUUCUUCUCGAUGAGGUCGGACAACAGCUGCUUGAGCACGCCCGUGGCAUACUCCAUCUCGCCCUGCAGGGCCGUCAUGAUAAGCGAGGCCACGUUGCCGCGGUCCCGCAUGGAGAAGCUGCGCUGGGCCUCCAGCGUGCGGAUGAAGGUCAGCAGGAAGUGCUUCUUGGUCAGCAGCUGGCCGAACAGCGUCAGCGACUUCUCCACAUUGGCCUGCACCUGGGGGACCGCAGGCCUGCUCAGAUCUAAGAAGCACCAGCCCCUUCUGGCUGAGGGACCGUGCAGGCCUGGGCGUCCAGUCACCCAUCACCCUGGCGGGACCCCAAGCCCCAAGUCCUCGCAGAAUGGCUAUGGCCUGGCAGCUACAUGA
rnacentral:lncRNA from 1 species